GAGUAAUCAGGUGGGUGGAUUCAUUACUGACUGUAGAGUUUAUUAGAGUAAUCAGGUGGGUGGAUUCAUUACUGACUGUAGAGUUGGUUAGAGUAAUCAGGUGGGUGGAUUCAUUACUGACUGUAGAGUUGGUUAGAGUAAUCAGGUGGGUGGAUUCAUUACUGACUGUAGAGUUUAUUAGAGUAAUCAGGUGGGUGGAUUCAUUACUGACUGUAGAGUUUAUUAGA